rnacentral:rRNA from 1 species
AUUGAACGCUGGCGGCAGGCCUAACACAUGCAAGUCGAACGAGUGGCGGACGGGUGAGUAAUGUCUGGGAAACUGCCUGAUGGAGGGGGAUAACUACUGGAAACGGUAGCUAAUACCGCCUACCAUCGGAUGUGCCCAGAUGGGAUUAGCUAGUAGGGGGGGUAAAGGCUCACUUAGGCGACGCUCCCUAGCUGGUCUAAGAGGAUGACCAGCCACACUGGGACUGAGACACAGUCCAGACUCCUACGGGAGGCAGCAGUGGGUAAUAUUGCACAAUGGGCGCAAGCCUGAUGCAGCCAUGCCGCGUGUAUGAAGAAGGCCUUCGGGUUGUAAAGUACUUUCAGCGGGGAGGCGUGACCCGCAGAAGAAGCACCGGCUAACUCCGUGACAGCAGCCGCGGUAAUUC